AUUGAACGCUGGCGGCAUGCUUUACACAUGCAAGUCGAACGGUAACAGGUUAAGCUGACGAGUGGCGAACGGGUGAGUAAUGCAUCGGAACGUGCCCGGUCGUGGGGGAUAACGCAGCGAAAGCUGCGCUAAUACCGCAUACGAUCUGAGGAUGAAAGCGGGGGACCGUAAGGCCUCGCGCGAUCGGAGCGGCCGAUGUCAGAUUAGGUAGUUGGUGGGGUAAAGGCUCACCAAGCCGACGAUCUGUAGCUGGUCUGAGAGGACGACCAGCCACACUGGGACUGAGACACGGCCCAGACUCCUACGGGAGGCAGCAGUGGGGAAUUUUGGACAAUGGGCGCAAGCCUGAUCCAGCAAUGCCGCGUGCAGGAAGAAGGCCUUCGGGUUGUAAACUGCUUUUGUACGGAGCGAAAAGGCUUUCUCUAAUACAGGAGGCUGAUGACGGUACCGUAAGAAUAAGCACCGGCUAACUACGUGCCAGCAGCCGCGGUAAUAC
rnacentral:rRNA from 1 species